UACGUAGGGUCCGAGCGUUGUCCGGAAUUACUGGGCGUAAAGAGCUCGUAGGUGGUUUGUCGCGUUGUCCGUGAAAACUCACAGCUCAACUGUGGGCGUGCGGGCGAUACGGGCAGACUGGAGUACUGCAGGGGAGACUGGAAUUCCUGGUGUAGCGGUGGAAUGCGCAGAUAUCAGGAGGAACACCGGUGGCGAAGGCGGGUCUCUGGGCAGUAACUGACGCUGAGACGCGAAAGCUAGGGUAGCAAACGGG
rnacentral:rRNA from 1 species